UGGAGAUGGCGACCGGCGCACGGGUGAGUAACACGUAUCCAACCUGCCGAUAACUCGGGGAUAGCCUUUCGAAAGAAAGAUUAAUACCCGAUGGCAUAAUAGAACCGCAUGGUUUGAUUAUUAAAGAAUUUCGGUCAUCGAUGGGGAUGCGUUCCAUUAGGUUGUUGGCGGGGUAACGGCCCACCAAGCCUUCGAUGGAUAGGGGUUCUGAGAGGAAGGUCCCCCACAUUGGAACUGAGACACGGUCCAAGCUCCUACGGGAGGCAGCAUG
rnacentral:rRNA from 1 species